rnacentral:sRNA from 1 species
ACCCGGUGCUCGCUGCUCGCUGCUCGCUGCCCCUCCAGACCACGGUAUUUCUUACUCCUCGACAUAUAUACCACCCGAUAAUAGUCAUUCCUUUCCCUGGCACUACACAAUUGAUUGGUCGAUUGGUCAGCCCUCUCACCAUGGCAGCGGAAAGCGCCCAGUCGGAAUUCCAGCGCGCCUCCACCUCUGGUUCCGCUGAUGCUCCUGCGCCUGAGACUGAGACUGAAAUCCAAGAGAGUACUGAUCUCAUCCAGCAGCUCUCAGAGCAAGCCGGUCAACUCGUUGAGCAGUCAGACCAACUAUCACAACAUUCGCGAACUUCCCACCCCUUUGAGACACCACAACCCCAAAUGACAGCAAUAGCAGAUUCUAAAGAAAAUGAAGACAAUAACCCUGAACACCAGGUAACGGAUGAACAAUGGAGAGCUAUGUUCGAUGUUGUCCUGGCGAUAUACGAUUAUCGCGAGCCGGACGGCUAUGACCCCUCGCGUCUUUUCCAUCGCAGCGUCAACAAACGCAAUGUGCCGGACUACUACGAUGUCAUCAAAGAGCCCAUGGCCCUCAGUGUGCUGAAGCAAAAGAUUAAGAAUAAAUCAUACUGCAAUUUUGCAGAGUUUAUAAGAGAUUGCGCAUUGAUUCCCCACAACGCGCAAACAUAUAAUCGCCCUAAAUCCCAAGCUUACGAAGAUGCGCUAGUUAUCAAGGACGUCUUUAUUUCUGAAUUUCGAAAACUUGUCGAACAAGGGAUAAUUUCCUCGGAAACAGCCGAACUUCCGGACCUAGGGGAAAUUCCCGACGCAGACCCUCUUCCAGUCGAAGAAGACGAGGAGGAAGAAGAGGAAGACGAUGAGGAAGACGAUGAAGCUGAAGACUCAGAUGAUGAGGCCGGUCGCCGCAGACAAAAACGACCGAACCGUGGGUCUUCCAAAAGAGAAGGCGCUAAAGACGACCAGAAUAAAAUCAACGACCCUGAGCUCCGAAAAAAACGCGGUCGUCCUCCCCGCGUUGAUACCCCGAUGGAAGCGCGGAUCAAGGCUGUCUUGAAGGGAAUACGCAAGUUCAAGGAUUCCACGGGCCAGCUAAAAGUUCGCCAUUUUGAGCGGCUACCCGACAAGGCUGCCUAUCCUGAUUAUUUCUCGGAGAUUAAGGAUCCUAUGGCCAUUGACCUCAUAAAAAGGAAAUCUAAGAGGAAGAAGUACAACUCGGUUGACCAUUUUAUGAAAGAUAUGGACCUUAUGUUCAACAAUGCAAAGGCAUAUAACCAAGUUGAUAGCCAAAUAUACAAGGAUGCUGCCGCUUUGCAGACGGAAGCACGGAAAUUAGCCGAUCAAGAGAAGAAGAAACCAGACAGCGAGUAUCUGAUGGAGGAUGGACGACUCCCGUUACCAAAUGGCAUCUUACAUAAAGGUGAACUUUGGAAAGUUGGAGACUGGGUACAUAUUCAAAAUCCGAACGAUGUAACGAAGCCGAUAGUUGCGCAGAUCUACCGGACCUGGCAAGAUGUGGAAGGACAGAAAUGGGUUAAUGCCUGCUGGUACUACCGGCCAGAACAGACCGUUCACCAAUACGAGAAACACUUUUAUCCCAACGAAGUCGUGAAAACCGGCCAAUACCGAGAUCAUCGGAUUGGGGAAGUCGUUGACCGAUGCUUUGUCAUGUUUUUCACCCGCUACAAUCGUGGGAGGCCACGAGGGCUGGCGCCAGACAAACAGGUUUAUGUGUGCGAAGCACGAUACAAUGAGGAGAAACACAAGCUCAACAAGAUCAAAACCUGGGCUAGUUGUCUGCCUGACGAAGUCAGAGAGAAGGAUUACGAGAUGGAUCUUUUUGAUGCGCCUCGGAAAAUCAAAAAGAUACCGAGCCCAAUCAAACAUUUGCUUAAGGAGGAUGCGAAGGAAACAGAUGAUGUACCUAAACCGACGUGGGGUGCAGAGAAUGCGCCACCAAUUGUGGGUGCAGUACACCGCCGACCAAGGGAGGAAAACGAAUCUCCACCCCCGGAACCUACCCCAUCGCCGCCUCCACAACUCCCCGCGCCCCCGGUCGUUCCCCUCGCACCCCAACGUCAAAUGUCUAUAAAUCGCGCUCCGACCCGCCAAAGUAUCGACAGCCAAAGCGAUUACCGCAUGAGCGCUAGUCCCUUACAUUCCCUACCAGCACGCUCAGCAGGCCAACCAACUCCACAUGCUCCGCCGGCAGUUGCUCCCCAGCAGGCGCCCAUCCCACUAACACGCAUGCAGCAAUCCUUCCCUCCUCUAUCAGCCACCCCAACAUCAGCCACCCCAGUCUACCCCCCCGGCUACCCAAACCACCGGCCAGGACCCCCAUUCGCAUCUCAGACGCCUCAAUCCACUCCAAUUUAUCAACAACCGCCCCCGCCACAACCUUACUCCGCCCCACACAAUUUCCCUUCUUACCAAGCCAGUCGCUAUCAUCCCCAUCCCCCUCACAUCCCUCAAGCCCACCUCCAGCAACAGUCGCAGCUACUACCACAGCCACAAUCACAGCCACAACCAGUCCUUCCACCCAACAUUUACAACCCAAACGCACCCCGACCAGUGGAAACGUUCAUUCUAAGCGAUAAUACCAACGCGGCUAUACCAGAAGAAAUCCGCGGACAAUUCCACUGUGACGAGAAAGGGCACGUGCUAUUCUUCACGAGCCCGCCGCUAGAUGUCGUACAGCCAGCUGAACAGACGGGGUUGGGACAUUCAUUGCGCUAUCUGGCAGCAAAGGAGGAGAGGGCAAAGAUUAUUGAGAAAAGGAGGAUCGAGAGGGAAGAAAUGGAUAAAGAGAGGGCAAUGAAACGGCUGAAAACGACUAUGACCACUAUCACUACUACCGACGCAUGUAGUAAGGAUAAUAACGCUACUCUCGCAAAAACCGACCGAAACAUGCUCUGUGAGCUCGCGGUAAUGGCGGCCGUUGCACAGAUGAAGCAGGCAGAUCAGGAUUGGUAUCUAAUGCGUUAUGGAGAGAAUAAUGCUGUGAAGGCUAAAGAGGCAGAUAGGGAGAGGUUCAUGAGGAUCUUGGGCGAGAAAGAGAAGGCGGAUGCAAUGAGGGAGAGCUUGGACGUUAGGGAGCCGGUGGACGUGGUGCCUGUCCUUAGUCUUGCGGCGGGGAAGGAGGGGCAGCUGUUUAAACGGGUGAUUUAUAAUACCGGCUUUCUUCUAAAGGUGAAGGCUGGCAUGUGUGUGAUCUCAGGCGGUCUUGUGCCUCGCAUCUAUUCAUCCUUUCUGUCUUUCUAUUCUUUAAAUUUUAUUCAAGUUCUACCUACUUGGCUUGCACCUUGACUCCGGCUUUGGAAGGGCGUCCUAUUUUCCCGCCUUCUUUAACCAACCUGGAUGGAUAAGGCAGUGAAAACAAAAACCGAGAUUGAAAAUUUCGGUGAUGGUUAAUUUGAGGCCACAUGAAGAAUAACGCAACCAAGUCUCCCUAAAAUUUUAUGUAUAUCCCUUUUCCGCAUUUCGAGCGACACGUGGGUAUAUCUCCCCCGAAGGUUCAGACAUCUCCCAUGCAUCUUCAUAAUAUUUCUGAAUCAAGUUUAAAAAUUAAAAUGAUAAUCUAUCCAUGUAAACAAGGCAGAUUACGGUGCAUGGGCGGCUGAAGACAUUCGCUUGGCCUGUUUAGCGAUUUGUUUCUUUCCAGCUGCCAGCUUUUAUACUUAAACAGGUUUCAAAAAAGCCGAGUGUGGACCUGGGACAAAAGAACUUAUUCACCACCAGCGACAUGCUGGUAGUAGAGGGGACAAGCCAACCCAAUCCAUCCCUCCAACAGUUAGAUUGUGAAAUGGAUAAAAAACAUACAAAAUAUAUCUUAAGAUUGGUUCACCUGUUGACCAUAAGGAUUGAUCCUUUUUGAUGUAGUGGUAAAAAGUUUCUCUCAUCAGCUUUGCACUGUGCACAUACCACCAUUACCAGUAUGAGAAGCAACUUUGUGAAACAAACAAGACAAACAUGAAAUAUAUCUUUGCAUAAUGAGUGAAAAGGUGAUAAAAUACCUCCAAGCUGAAGCUGGAGGAACACUGAGCACUAAACAAUAACAAUCAAAAUAUACAUUAUGAGCUAAAUAUACAUAUAUAUGUAUUUAUAGAAUGAGACAAAGCAUGUUUGAAUGACAUGAAUAUAUAUUUAGAGAUAUGUUGUGAAUGAAUGCACAUCAUCAUACAGUGAUGAUGAAUAGAUUGAUUAAAUAGAAAAACCCUUUAGCAGAAUGAGAAUAAGUUACUGAUUCAAUGAUGAAUGCAGUUUUCCACUCUUUGAUUCAUAUUUCCACAAAUUCUCAUCCCAUACUGAGUGGGAAUGGAAAAUCAAAGAAGAAUUAAUGAUUUGAGAUAGUUAAGUGAGAAACAGUAUAUGAGAAGCCAGCAAUUGAAAGC